AUUUACUAUUGAAAGAAAAAAAAACCAGAAUGGUCAUAUUUAAGUUUCUUUCCGAUCUGCCAAGCAGUCAAGCAGGAGCGAUAAAGUCGAUGGAUCCAAUAACACAACAAACCAAGGUUUAGCACCACCAGGCAAGCCAUCGCCAUUUCGCUUGAAGAACCAUCACAGAAACGGAAAACGUCAAAUCUCCACAACAACACAUCAACACCUCCGCCACCGUGGUCGAAGUGUGAAACGCGAGAGAAACCGUCGCCGGUGUUGUUUUCUCCGAUCCACAACGGUCCGUUGACUAGAGCGAGGUUACAGCCUAAUAUCGUCAAUACGUCGACGUUUUGGGAGGCGGUGGUAGCGGUGAAAACAAUUUCGGAAUGAAGAAUGAAAAACCCUAUGUCGAUUCCGUGAUUAUUAAUUUCGUUUCUGGAUUGCCGGAUAUUUCCCAAUACACAAAAACAGGGCAGUCCUAGUUUGAUCUAAAGUUCAAAAGAAAAUUGCAGAAAAAUUGAUAGUGUACCCGGAUUUGAUGAACGACAAUUAUCUGAAUCCAAGCCGGUAGAUUCCCUGAUGAAUAGAGCGUUCGUGCUGAUAACGUGUUAAGAACCAAAGAGAAAUAAAGAUAAACUGAAUUUUUCUCUUUCAUUCGAUUCAACAUUACAAUAUAUAGAUAAACACAAGUGUAAACCCUAAAACCCAUAAGUAUUGGGUUGGGCCUAAAAUGUCUGAUUUAUAACAGUAACCGUCUUUUCAGUUA